rnacentral:rRNA from 1 species
UACGUAGGGUGCAAGCGUUGUCCGGAAUUAUUGGGCGUAAAGAGCUCGUAGGCGGUCUGUCGCGUCGGCUGUGAAAACUCGGGGCUCAACCCCGAGCCUGCAGUCGAUACGGGCAGACUAGAGUGCGGUAGGGGAGACUGGAAUUCCUGGUGUAGCGGUGAAAUGCGCAGAUAUCAGGAGGAACACCGGUGGCGAAGGCGGGUCUCUGGGCCGUAACUGGACGCUGAGGAGCGAAAGCGUGGGGGAGCAAACAGG